UGUCUCAUCUUCAUCUCAACUUUUUAUCUUCCAUAUAUCCGUCUCCUUCUCUUUCUCACUCUCCCAUGAACGUUUUUCUUCUGCUAUGAAUUCUCUAUUUCACAUCAAAGUCAAUUACUACACCUAGCUCUCCGUCUCCCUCGCUUACAUCAAAGCUUGAUGCAGCUGGUAACCGAAGAACACUUGAAACCCUAUAAAUAGGAGAGGGUUGAGACGGAUAUCACAUCUCAUACACGCUCUAUGAGUUUAUCUUCUCUCGAAAAAAUCUAGAACCAUCCUUUGAAAUUGUCUGCCUCCAAUGCAAUUUCUGUUCAACCUGUUAUUCACGAUGCAACGUUUGAUGAUAUCCGCCUUGGUUGGUCUUUUCCGGUAGUUGUUGGCCGGCUCCUUCGUUUUUGGGAUUCAGGAAACAUCAAGAAGAAUGGAGAGCUCAUGAGUAAUACCCUCCUGCUUCUAGAUGAAAAGGUAACCUCUACCUCGACUCGACACCACUACACAUCUUCCGACUCAUAUUUGACAAAAGCUUGGGUGAACGCUUUCCACGUGUUGAGGCAAUUGGAGAGAUUUAAAAGAAAGAACUUGCCUCAAUUGGAAAUCUUGAUACAUACCUCUCCAAGUCAACCGACAAGAAAGAGCUGGCACUUGCAUCAAAGAAAAUCAAAAGGAAGCCGUUGAAUCUUUGGAGGUAACUAAAAACUUCUUUCUCUACCGGUUUAUAAUAAGGAACAUGCUUAUGUAAUGUUUUCAGACAUGAGUGAAAAAGAAGCUAUAGAGAUGAGAGCAACCAUGGGUCUGAAGGGGAAGGAUAGUUUAUGUGUGUACCCUAGGGAAAAACGUGAAGGAAGAAAAACAAAACAUGUUCUCCAUCUCACAGUGGCAGGAGAAAGAAAACAAAUCUCUAGACACUCAUUUGUAGCAAUGAACUCUUAUCAACUAUAUAUUUUAGGCUGCAUGACUCCAAGACUAAGCCCAAAAUUAAGAAACCGAUGACUUUGUUUGGCUGCACUUGAAGCAUGUAUAUAGAAGAAUGCUUCAUAUAAAGGUCUGGUGACUUGAAAUUUUUAAGAAAAGGUGAUGAAACACAAAAAAGCGUUGUAUCAUUUUAAGUUAAAUAUAGCAUAUGAGUAAAUCUCUCGAUUAUGUCCCAUGUUCAAGUUUAGUGGCAGAAAUAAAAGAUACAAGUGACAGAAAGCAAAAAGAACACCUGCUCCAUUCCAUUGCUGUCGAAACCAAGGCCGCUUUCACCCCAAACGUGGAGUUCAGUUAUAAUGUACGAGUUCAUGAUGUAUAAACUAAUCAAGUUUUUGUUCAAAGAGAUAUUUUUAACUGAACAAUGAUAAAGUGAUGAAGCUACUGGUAACUUUUUUGGAGCCCAUGUU